UAAUAUAUUUAAUAAAAAUAAUUUUAAUUUAAUAAAUAUUUUAAUGGGGGUUAAAGUAUUAUUUAAAGAAAAAAUUUUUAAAUUUAUAGUUAAUUAGUAUUGUGAAAGAAUUUUGAAAUAUUAUGAAAAUUAAAAUUUUAGUAAAGUAAUUUUUAUUUAUUGUAUCUUGUGUAUCAGAGUUUAUUAAAAAUUUUUAAUUUAUAAAUUAAUUUCUCGAAUUUAAAAGAGUUAAAUAAUUAUUAAAGUUAUUGUAGCAAAAUUAUUUUAAAUAAUUAUUUAGAAAUGAAAUGUUAAUCGUUUUUAAAUAUAUCUAGUUUUUAUAGAAAAAAAUUUAAUUUUAAAUUUUUAUAUUAUUUAAUUAAUUUAUUAAUUAAAUAAUUAUAAAAAUUUUAUAAUUUAAGGGAUAAGCUUUAAAUUAGAUUUUUAUAAUACUAAAUUUUUAUUUUGAAAAUUUUAUAAUUUAUAUUGUUAAUAAAUUUUAUUUUAUUAUAAAUAAUUUCAUUUUUUUUAAAAUUUAAAUUUUAUUUAAUUUUUUAUAUAAAAUUUAUUUAUAAUUAUAUAAAUUUAAUUAUAAUGAUAAAAUUAGUAUAUUAUUUAAUAUAAAAUUAAAAUUAAUUUUUAAUUAAUAAUUAAAUUAAUUAAAAGGAAUUCGGCAAAUAUUUAUUUUCACUUGUUUAUCAAAAACAUGUCUUUUUGUUUUUAAUUUAAAGUCUAAUCUGCCCACUGAUUUAAAAAAAUUGAAGGGCUGCAGUAUAUUGACUGUACAAAGGUAGCAUAAUCAUUAGUCUCUUAAUUGGUGACUUGUAUGAAAGAUUGGAUGAAAAAUAUACUGUCUCUUAAUUAAUAUGUAGAAUUUAAUUUUUUAUUUAAAAAGUUAAAAUAAUUUAAAAAGACGAGAAGACCCUAUAGAGUUUAAUAAGUUUUUUUGUAAGAGUUUUAUUUAUAAUUAUUAAUAAUUUUAUAAAUUUUUUUAUUUUAUUGGGGUGAUAAAAAAAUAAAUUUAACUUUUUUUAAAUAAUUUACAUAAAUAAAUGAUUAAU
rnacentral:rRNA from 1 species